CACGUGGGGGACGAGCGUUGUCCGGAAUUAUUGGGCGUAAAGGGCGCGUAGGCGGCUUUGCAAGUGACGGGUGAAAUCCCUCGGCUUAACCGAGGAACUGCCUGUCAGACUGCAUGGCUUGAGACCAGGAGAGGUGAGUGGAAUUCCCAGUGUAGCGGUGAAAUGCGUAGAUAUUGGGAGGAACACCAGUGGCGAAGGCGGCUCACUGGACUGGUACUGACGCUGAGGCGCGAAAGCGUGGGGAGCAAACAGG
rnacentral:rRNA from 1 species